rnacentral:rRNA from 1 species
AUUGAACGCUGGCGGAAUGCUUUACACAUGCAAGUCGAACGGUAGAGGGGGCAACCCCUCGAGAGUGGCGAACGAGUGAGUAAUAUAUCGGAACGUGCCCAGUCGUGGGGGAUAACGUAGCGAAAGUUACGCUAAUACCGCAUACGAUCUAAGGAUGAAAGCGGGGGAUCGGAAGACCUCGCGCGAUUGGAGCGGCCGAUAUCAGAUUAGGUAGUUGGUGGGGUAAAGGCUCACCAAGCCAACGAUCUGUAGCUGGUCUGAGAGGACGACCAGCCACACUGGAACUGAGACACGGUCCAGACUCCUACGGGAGGCAGCAGUGGGGAAUUUUGGACAAUGGACGCAAGUCUGAUCCAGCCAUUCCGCGUGCAGGAUGAAGGCCCUCGGGUUGUAAACUGCUUUUGUACGGAACGAAAAGGUCUCUCUUAAUACGGGGGGCUCAUGACGGUACCGUAAGAAUAAGCACCGGCUAACUACGUGCCAGCCGCCGCUGUAA